CACGUCAUCAUGUUCCCCUGUCUCAACACCUACAGAGGUCACGUCAUCAUGUUCCCCUGUCUCAACACCUACAGAGAUCACGUCACCAUGCUUCCCUGUCUCAACACCUACAGAGGUCAUCUCAUCAUGCUCCCCUGUCUCAACACCUAGAGGUCACCUCACUAUGCUCCCCUGUCUCAACACCUACAGAGGUCAUGUCCUCAUGCUCCCCUGUCUCUCCAAGUGGAAAACAGCUGCCUUCCAGCCAGCAUCUUGUUUACACCUGGACAGGCCUCAUAACCUGAACCAUGACCUAAUCUCAUCCAUUACAUGUUGAGACGUAAUGAACAUCAGCUGACAUUGUAACCAGUAUGGAUCAGGAUGUAACCCUCCCUCAGACAGAGACCAUCAGGUCAGGAGGGAAAGGGCUCUGGAGGCUUGGCAUUCAGGGGGCGGGGGGUAAGGUGUGGUGUAACCUGUGAACAAGUCUCAGAGGCCCGAUGCCAUACUGUGGUGAUAGCAGGUAGGGUUGGUGGUGGGGAUACCAGGUAGGGUUGGGGGGUAAGGUGGGGAUACCAGGUAGGGUUGGUGGGGAUAAGGUGGUGAUAGCAGGUAGGGUUGGUGGGGGGGGGAUACCAGGUAGGGUUGGGGGGGUAAGGUGGUGAUAGCAGGUAGGGUUGGGGGGUAAGGUGGUGAUAGCAGGUAGGGUUGGGGGGUAAGGUGGUGAUAGCAGGUAGGGUUGGGAAGGGGAUACCAGGUAGGGUUGGUGGGGGUAAGGUGGUGAUAGCAGGUAGGGUUGGUGGGGGUAAUGUGGUGAUAGCAGGUAGGGUUGGUGGGGGUAAGGUGGUGAUAGCAGGUAGGGUUGGGAAGGGGGUAGCAGGUAGGGUUGGUGGGGGUAAGGUGGUGAUAGCAGGUAGGGUUGGGAAGGGGGUAGCAGGUAGGGUUGGUGGGGGUAAUGUGGUGAUAGCAGGUAGGGUUGGGAAGGGUAAGGAAGUGAUAGCAGGUAGGGUUGGCGGGGGUAAGGUGGUGAUAGCAGGUAGGGUUGGGAAGGGUAAGGAAGUGAU
rnacentral:lncRNA from 1 species